CUACGGGAGGCAGCAGUAAGGAAUAUUGCGCAAUGGGCGAAAGCCUGACGCAGCGACGCCGCGUGGGGGAUGAAGGUCUUCGGAUUGUAAACCCCUUUCGGGAGGGAAGAUGGGAUGGGGUAACCCAUUCGGACGGUACCUCCAGAAGCAGCCACGGCUAACUUCGUGCCAGCAGCCGCGGUAAUACGAAGGUGGCAAGCGUUGUUCGGAUUUACUGGGCGUACAGGGAGCGUAGGCGGUUGGGUAAGCCCUCCGUGAAAUCUCCAGGCUUAACCUGGAAAGUGCAGAGGGGACUGCUCAGCUAGAGGAUGGGAGAGGAGCGCGGAAUUCCCGGUGUAGCGGUGAAAUGCGUAGAGAUCGGGAGGAAGGCCGGUGGCGAAGGCGGCGCUCUGGAACAUUUCUGACGCUGAGGCUCGAAAGCGUGGGGAGCAAACAGGAUUAGAUACCCCGGU
rnacentral:rRNA from 1 species